UACGGGGGGGGCAAGCGUUGUUCGGAAUUACUGGGCGUAAAGGGCUCGUAGGCGGCCAACUAAGUCGUACGUGAAAUCCCUCGGCUUAACCGGGGAACUGCGUCUGAUACUGGAUGGCUUGAGUUUGGGAGAGGGAUGCGGAAUUCCAGGUGUAGCGGUGAAAUGCGUAGAUAUCUGGAGGAACACCGGUGGCGAAGGCGGCAUCCUGGACCAACACUGACGCUGAGUGAGCGAAAGCCAGGGGAGCAAACGGG
rnacentral:rRNA from 1 species